UACGGGGGGGGCAAGCGUUGUUCGGAAUUACUGGGCGUAAGGGCUCGUAGGCGGCCAACUAAGUCAGACGGUGAAAUCCCUCGGCUUAACCGGGGAACUGCGUCUGAUACUGGACUGGCUUGAGAGUUGGGAGGAUGGGAGCGGAAUUCCGAGGUGUAGCGGUGAAAUGACGCAGACUAGUCAGGAGGAACACCGGUGGCGAAGGCGGAUCUCUGGGCCAUUACUGACGCUGAGGAGCGAAAGCGUGGGGAGCGAACAGG
rnacentral:rRNA from 1 species